rnacentral:rRNA from 1 species
AGCAGCCGCGGUAAUUCCAGCUCCAAUAGCGUAUAUUAAAGUUGUUGCAGUUAAAAAGCUCGUAGUUGAACUUCGGGGUUCACCCAUUGGUCAGGCUUAAUUGUCUGUACUGGUGAGAUGAGUCUCUACCUUCUGAGGAACUUUCAUGCCAUUUAUUUGGUGUGAUUGGAAAUCAGGACUGUUACUUUGAAAAAAUUAGAGUGUUUAAAGCAGGCUAACGUCUGAAUACAUUAGCAUGGAAUAAUGAAAUAGGACGGAUCGAUUCUAUUUCGUUGGUUUCUAGGGUCACCGUAAUGAUUAAUAGGGAUAGUUGGGGGCAUUAGUAUUCAAUUGUCAGAGGUGAAAUUCUUGGAUUUAUUGAAGACUAACUACUGCGAAAGCAUUUGCCAAGGAUGUUUUCAUUAAUCAAGAACGAAAGUUAGGGGAUCGAAGACGAUCAGAUACCGUCGUAGUCUUAACCAUAAACUAUGCCGACUAGGGAUCGGACGCAGUUAAUUUUAUAAUGACGUG